UCUGGUAAAGGCUAAUGACAUCAACAGU
rnacentral:piRNA from 1 species